rnacentral:rRNA from 1 species
GGUACGCGAGCUGGGUUCAGAACGUCGUGAGACAGUUCGGUCCCUAUCCGUCGCAGGCGUAGGAAAUUUGAGAAGACCUGUCCUUAGUACGAGAGGACCGGGAUGGACGUACCUCUGGUGUACCAGUUGGCCUGCCAAGGGCAUGGCUGGGUAGCUAUGUACGGAAUGGAUAAGCGCUGAAAGCAUCUAAGCGCGAAGCCAACUUCAAGAUAAGAUUUCCCACCGCAAGGGUAAGACCCCAGAAAGACUAUCUGGUUGAUAGGUCGAAGGUGUAAGU